CCUACGGGAGGCAGCAGUGAGGAAUAUUGGUCAAUGGCCAUAAGGCUGAACCAGCCAAGUCGCGUGAAGGAAGAAGGAUCUAUGGUUUGUAAACUUCUUUUAUAGGGGAAUAAAGGUAUCCACGUGUGGAUAUUUGCAUGUACCCUAUGAAUAAGCAUCGGCUAACUCCGUGCCAGCAGCCGCGGUAAUACGGAGGAUGCGAGCGUUAUCCGGAUUUAUUGGGUUUAAAGGGUGCGUAGGUUGUUUUUUAAGUCAGCGGUGAAAGUUUGUGGCUCAACCAUAAAAUUGCCGUUGAAACUGGAAGUCUUGAGUGUGUUUGAGGUAGGCGGAAUGCGUGGUGUAGCGGUGAAAUGCAUAGAUAUCACGCAGAACUCCGAUUGCGAAGGCAGCUUACUAAGCCAUAACUGACACUGAAGCACGAAAGCGUGGGGAUCAAACAGGAUUAGAUACCGUGGUAGUC
rnacentral:rRNA from 1 species